GGGAUUGCCCUAGUAACGGCGAGUGAAGCGGCAACAGCUCAAAUUUGAAAUCUGGCGCAAGCCCGAGUUGUAAUUUGUAGAGGAUGCUUCUGGGUAGCGACCGGUCUAAGUUCCUUGGAACAGGACGUCAUAGAGGGUGAGAAUCCCGUAUGUGACCGGCCCGCACCCUUUACGUAGCUCCUUCGACGAGUCGAGUUGUUUGGGAAUGCAGCUCUAAAUGGGAGGUAAAUUUCUUCUAAAGCUAAAUACCGGCCAGAGACCGAUAGCGCACAAGUAGAGUGAUCGAAAGAUGAAAAGUACUUUGGAAAGAGAGUUAAAAAGCACGUGAAAUUGUUGAAAGGGAAGCGCCUGCAACCAGACUUCGCGGCAGUGUUCCGCCGGUCUUCUGACCGGUUUAUUCUCUGUCGCGAGGCCAUCAUCGUCUGGGCCCGCCGGAUAAGACCUUAGGAAUGUAGCUCACCUUCGGGGGAGUGUUAUAGCCUAUGGUGAUGCGGCGAGGCUCGGGCGAGGUCCGCGCUUCGGCAAGGAUGAUGGCGUAAUGGUUGUCGGCGGCCCGUCUUGAAACACGGACCAAGGAGUCUAACAUCUAUGCGAGUGUUCGGGUGUCAAACCCCUACGCGUAAUGAAAGUGAACGGAGGUGGGAACCGCAAGGUGCACCAUCGACCGAUCCUGAUGUCCUCGGAUGGAUUUGAGUAAGAGCAUAGCUGUUGGGACCCGAAAGAUGGUGAACUAUGCCUGAAUAGGGUGAAGCCAGAGGAAACUCUGGUGGAGGCUCGCAGCGGUUCUGACGUGCAAAUCGAUCGUCAAAUUUGGGUAUAGGGGCG
rnacentral:rRNA from 4 species